AGAGUUUGAUCCUGGCUCAGAUUGAACGCUGGCGGCAGGCCUAACACAUGCAAGUCGAACGGUAACAGGAAACAGCUUGCUGUUUCGCUGACGAGUGGCGGACGGGUGAGUAAUGUCUGGGAAACUGCCUGAUGGAGGGGGAUAACUACUGGAAACGGUAGCUAAUACCGCAUAACGUCGCAAGACCAAAGAGGGGGACCUUCGGGCCUCUUGCCAUCAGAUGUGCCCAGAUGGGAUUAGCUAGUAGGUGGGGUAACGGCUCACCUAGGCGACGAUCCCUAGCUGGUCUGAGAGGAUGACCAGCCACACUGGAACUGAGACACGGUCCAGACUCCUACGGGAGGCAGCAGUGGGGAAUAUUGCACAAUGGGCGCAAGCCUGAUGCAGCCAUGCCGCGUGUAUGAAGAAGGCCUUCGGGUUGUAAAGUACUUUCAGCGGGGAGGAAGGGAGUAAAGUUAAUACCUUUGCUCAUUGACGUUACCCGCAGAAGAAGCACCGGCUAACUCCGUGCCAGCAGCCGCGGUAAUACGGAGGGUGCAAGCGUUAAUCGGAAUUACUGGGCGUAAAGCGCACGCAGGCGGUUUGUUAAGUCAGAUGUGAAAUCCCCGGGCUCAACCUGGGAACUGCAUCUGAUACUGGCAAGCUUGAGUCUCGUAGAGGGGGGUAGAAUUCCAGGUGUAGCGGUGAAAUGCGUAGAGAUCUGGAGGAAUACCGGUGGCGAAGGCGGCCCCCUGGACGAAGACUGACGCUCAGGUGCGAAAGCGUGGGGAGCAAACAGGAUUAGAUACCCUGGUAGUCCACGCCGUAAACGAUGUCGACUUGGAGGUUGUGCCCUUGAGGCGUGGCUUCCGGAGCUAACGCGUUAAGUCGACCGCCUGGGGAGUACGGCCGCAAGGUUAAAACUCAAAUGAAUUGACGGGGGCCCGCACAAGCGGUGGAGCAUGUGGUUCAAUUCGAUGCAACGCGAAGAACCUUACCUGGUCUUGACAUCCACGGAAGUUUUCAGAGAUGAGAAUGUGCCUUCGGGAGCCGUGAGACAGGUGCUGCAUGGCUGUCGUCAGCUCGUGUUGUGAAAUGUUGGGUUAAGUCCCGCAACGAGCGCAACCC
rnacentral:rRNA from 1 species